UUAGAUUUUUGAUGACAUUUGCAUUGAUGUCAGAGUGAUUACAGGGACAAUAGAGUGCUGAGUACCAGGCAGUUAGCAAGUUUGGCAGGCUACUAAUAACCAUCCGCAGCAUGAGAGCUGGUUGAAGCCUAGUUACUGUGAUUAAAAGGUCACGUGGAAUUUGAUUGAAGUCAUGACUCGUGACCGCCGGUGUGACGAAGUUCUCACAAAGGAUCCAGUUCAAGGAAGUCACACUGCUCGAAUUUCUGGGUGUAUCCUGCAGAACCUGAAUCCAAUCCUCUACUCCACUCCUCAAUCAAAGUCAUUGAUCCAUCCAUUCCCCUCUGUGCUCUGUCUGCCUCUCAGCUUGUGACCCAAAUGGCACCCUAUUACCUAUAUAGUGCACUACUUUUAACCAGAGCUCAUGGUAGUGCACUAUAUAGGAAAUAUGGUGCCAUUUGGGACGCAUAGUGGACAAUUCCAUUUGGACAGCGGGCUGCAGCAGACAGUUUCUCUGUAGUACACUAAUUGUGUGACAGAGUAGUGAGAUUAAUGGGUCUGCUCUUAGUAAUAGCAUUGGAUCACCUCAGAAAUGUAAUUUCUGUCUCCAGGACCAAAUUCUGAAACACAUGAAAUAAAGACGAAUAUCCACAGCAGAGCAGCCCUGGACGGAACUCUGUGUCUCACUCUGGUUCUCAUUACCUCACAGCAAAAUCAAUGGUGUACCUUUUAACUUGGAAAGUGUUAAAUGUACAAUAUUUUCAGUGAACAUACAAGUCAUACUGAACUGGCGUUAAAAUAACACAUUUGAAAGGUGCAGUGUUCCCCAUUCAACUCUUACAGCUGCAAUAUGUAACUUUUUGGGAGACUUGUCCAAAUUC